CGCCUAACACAUGCAAGUCGAGCGGUAAGGCCCUUCGGGGUACACGAGCGGCGAACGGGUGAGUAACACGUGGGUGAUCUGCCUUGCACUUCGGGAUAAGCCUGGGAAACUGGGUCUAAUACCGGAUAUGACCCUGGAAUGCAUGUUCUGGGGUGGAAAGAUUUAUCGGUGCGAGAUGGGCCCGCGGCCUAUCAGCUUGUUGGUGAGGUAACGGCUCACCAAGGCGACGACGGGUAGCCGACCUGAGAGGGUGACCGGCCACACUGGGACUGAGACACGGCCCAGACUCCUACGGGAGGCAGCAGUGGGGAAUAUUGCACAAUGGGCGCAAGCCUGAUGCAGCGACGCCGCGUGCGGGAUGACGGCCUUCGGGUUGUAAACCGCUUUUGACAGGGACGAAGCGCAAGUGACUGUACCUGUAGAAUAAGGACCGGCCAACUACGUGCCAGCAGCCGCGGUAAUACGUAGGGUGCAAGCGUUGUCCGGAAUUAUUGGGCGUAAAGAGCUCGUAGGCGGUUUGUCGCGUCUGCUGUGAAAUCUGGGGGCUCAACCCCCAGCCUGCAGUGGGUACGGGCAGACUAGAGUGCGGUAGGGGAGAUUGGAAUUCCUGGUGUAGCGGUGGAAUGCGCAGAUAUCAGAGGAACACCGAUGGCGAAGGCAGAUCUCUGGGCCGUAACUGACGCUGAGGAGCGAAAGCAUGGGGAGCGAACAGGAUUAGAUACCCUGUAGUCCAUGCCGUAAACGUUGGGAACUAGAUGUGGGGACCAUUCCACGGUCUCCGUGUCCACUAAGCAUUAAGUUCCCCGCCUGGGGAGUACGGCGAGUAAACUCAAAGGAAUUGACGGGGGCCCCACAAGCGGGACAUGCGAUUAUCGAUGCACGCAAACUUACAACUUGACUUCGAAACGGGCAAAAUGGUCACUCUUGAUCUAAACGGGGCAUGGCUCGCUCCGUGUGGACCACCCUAUGCAGGAGGGCGA
rnacentral:rRNA from 1 species